UGUAAGCGGUGUUUGUUUGACAGGUAAGUGGCUAGUUUCAGUAAAAUUAAAAAUUUUCUAUUACCUAGGUUUGGCAGUUUUGGUACAUUUCAAAUUCAUGUUGGCAUUAGCACCACAGAAGAAAUAAAUUUACUUGGAAGGAAAGGUGGUUACUUUCAAGGAGAAUCAUGAAACUAGAGCAUGAUUUACCAUGAACCAUUUGGGAACCAACUUGUUAGCUGCCUUAUAGCUAUCAUCCUUCUGAUGAAAUAACAGCAUUACAGCUGUUAGUUACGUCAAGACAUUAAUCUCAAGAUGCAAGUACUGAGCUUUAACGGAUUUCAAUUUACAGAAGCAAGACAUCCAAUUCUGUUGUUGAGGAGAAAACCAACUACACACCCAGCUAUGAAUGGACACAUAUGUGUAGCAAACCGAAAUCGGUACCAUCGCUGAGCAGUGCCCAAGAAAAUGUCCAGGAGCACGUAACACUAUUCCUUAUUAUUGAUUUCCAUGAUAUCAAUAUUGGAUAUGGAUCACGGGAUCUCAUGUUGAAGGCGAGGGGGAGGAGAACACCCAAUCCGUUAGAAAGCUGAAAAAAGAAAUGACCGUCGAAGAAAGGCACUUAAUCCGUGCCCAAAAGCUACAACUCAUCGAAUCGGACUUUUAUAAGCAUGCCAGCAUUAAUGAAACGGCGCGGACGCUAGAUCUUGAUCUCGAUGUCGUUGAUCAAAUUUUCAACUUUUGGGUUCUUAAACGAAAGUCCAACCGAGACAGACCAUUGCUACCGCCCAAAACCACUGAAACGGAAAGAUUAAGUCAGCAACAACAGCAAGAUAUGGAACGUAUGAAAUUGUUUGUACAGCUACGACAAGACCUAGAGAGGGUUCGAAAUUUGUGUUACAUGGUCAGCCGAAGAAAUUAUCACGAUCGUAUUUUCGAUUGCGAGAACAAACCUUCCACAAGCAACAGCGAUUUUGUCUCUGUCUGAUCUACAAAAAACUAUCACCCCAGCAGAACUGACGCCAAUCAUGGCUCCAAUGUCUAUGACCUUGUAUAUUUACGUGGGGAAACGAUCCAAAAAGAAGGCUUUGAACAAGUCAUUCAACUCAUAGCAGGCGUACAGUCGAACAUCCCCGCAAUGAAAAAGGAUAAAAAUGGAAUCGUUGGUCGUCCCAAUCAUUUAAAGGAAGACAACCAGGGUUGGAAGCGGUACUUUAAAAAAGUACCGUUACCGCGGUAGCGGUACUUCAAUUUUCGUAAAAAGUAGCGCGGUAGCGGUAGUACCGCGGUAAAAUUUUUC